GUAGGCGAACCUGCGGAAGGAUCAUGACCGUGAUGACGAGACAAAGUCUUUUGCAUGAACAGUCUUCGAUCAACUCACACACACACAUUUUCGUACGGACAGCGCACAAGGCGAGCCCGAAAGGCUGGCCCAAAACGACACGGUUGUCGCGCGUUUCGGGGUACCKGGCCGGCGCSGUSUAUGCGCCGGGGGAGCGGCGGRCGAAUGACUUCGUUUUUGCSCGUYGUCUAUUCGCGUGAUCCGACGGUCACCGACCGCACGGCGACGGUUCAAARAACUAACCGACURCUGCUGCAGCGUCGACAGCGUCGACUGCUUARAGCACCAGUCGGUCCGYCGCCCCGUACGCGUACGUUUUUUCCGUYUUACUUUUCACUACAGUCGCUAUAAGAAUCGUCUUCGUCGUCGGCGUUCGAAAGACUUCGGCGGCGACGACCGAGUUCUGUGACAGACAAAUAUCAUAAAACUCUAAGCGGUGGAUCACUCGGCUCGUGUGUCGAUGAAGAGCGCAGCCAGCUGCAUGAAGUAAUGUGAAUUGCAGGACACAUUGAACAUCGAUAUCUUGAACGCACAUUGCGGCCUCGGGCAUUCUCGAGGCCACGCCUGUCUCAGGGUCGGUUGAAAGUAUCUAUCGCGAGUCGUCUCUUGCUCGCGCAGUGGACCGUCGCGACGGCGGUGCAACAACGUUCGGKCGUCUCUUGCCGUUCGYCKUCUAGCCUGCCGCCGCGUGGUCCGAAAUUCAGACGGUUCGCGUCGGUUGCGCGACGCUAUACCGCACGUCUCCAUACCGCUUCGUCCAUGAAUCAGCGGGACGGUUGCUCGGAUGCUCUCCUCAUCUGCAGAGUUCUAAGAGCCGUUGUCGCUGCUGCUGUCSUCGUUGUCSGGGAGGCGCGCAUCUCUCGACUAAACAACGAUUUUCGACCUGAGAUCAGACUGUAGUAC
rnacentral:rRNA from 1 species